AUAAGAAGCGAAAUACUGCACUCAGUUUCGACCUGAUCUCUGGUCAAUUUAACUUUGACCCUUAUU
rnacentral:tRNA from 1 species